AUUGAACGCUGGCGGCAGGCUUAACACAUGCAAGUCGAGCGGAGAUGAGGUGCUUGCACCUUAUCUUAGCGGCGGACGGGUGAGUAAUGCUUAGGAAUCUGCCUAUUAGUGGGGGACAACAUUCCGAAAGGAAUGCUAAUACCGCAUACGCCCUACGGGGGAAAGCAGGGGAUCUUCGGACCUUGCGCUACUAGAUGAGCCUAAGUCGGAUUAGCUAGUUGGUGGGGUAAAGGACUACCAAGGCGACGAUCUGUAGCGGGUCUGAGAGGAUGAUCCGCCACACUGGGACUGAGACACGGCCCAGACUCCUACGGGAGGCAGCAGUGGGGAAUAUUGGACAAUGGGCGGAAGCCUGAUCCAGCCAUGCCGCGUGUGUGAAGAAGGCCUUUUGGUUGUAAAGCACUUUAAGCGAGGAGGAGGCUACCUGGAUUAAUACUCUAGGAUAGUGGACGUUACUCGCAGAAUAAGCACCGGCUAACUCUGUGCCAGCCGCCGCGGUAAAAC
rnacentral:rRNA from 1 species